UAGAAGAUAGUAUAGUGGAAGUACGGAGGGUUUUGAUCUCUUUGGUGUGGGUUCGAGCCCCAUUCUUCUAA
rnacentral:tRNA from 1 species